GUGAGCAGGUACACACUGAGCUCUCUCCCACAGCCACUCAGGUGGGGAACAGAUCAGAACUGACAUGUGCCCUGGUCACAAAUAAGUUGUGGAGAUUCUCUCUGACACACAGGGGAUCCCCUGAGAAAGCCACCCGUCUGAAGAGGCAGAGAUGAGAUCUGCAUUUAAGUUUGCUGUCGUUGUUUAAUCACUUAGUUGUGUCUGACUCUUUGCUACCCCAUGGACUGUAGCCUGCCAGGCUCCUCUGUCCAUGAGAUUUCCUGGGCAAAAAUACUGGAGUGGGUUGCCAUUUCCUCCUCCAGGGGAUCUUCCUGACCCAGGGAUCGAACCUGUAACUCUUGCAUCUCUUGCAUUGGCAGGUGGAUUCUUUACCACUGAGCCAUCAGAGAAGCCCCAAGGCAUUUAAACUGGGGGUCAACAAAAGCAAAGAUGUGGGAACAAGAAAGCCCUGGGCAGCUUUGAGGAAACACCCAUGUGAAGAACAGCCAAGUAGCAACAGUAGACUGAACUAAACUGAAAGGAUUCUUAGAUAUAACAUCCAAAGCACAAGCAAAAAAAAGAAAAAGAAUAUAUGGUGCGUGGAGGUGCUUUGCCCAGAAGAAAGGACGUCAUGCACUGAGGAGAAGUUCCUGAGGUUUGGCACUCCUGGGGACGAGUCAAUCUCGAAUUUGCACCUGGCGCGUGGCUGGGAGACCAGCCUUCGUGAGUUCCAGUUAGGUUCGUGCCUGAGGGGUGUCCAGCUCGAGGCCAAGAUGUCUUCCGUGGGGAAGGUGACCCAGAUUCCCAGCGGGAAGGUCUACCAGCAGAUCUUCGAGGCUGAGGUGCAGCUGGUCCGCUCCCUGGCAUCCUCUAGGAAGCGAGCUGUGGAGCGUUCCAUGAUCCCAAAGGAUGGCAGGAAGCCCUUGGUGAAGAAGGUGGAUGUCCGUGAAGGCGAGAUGAUGUCUCCUCGGCAGCGGAAGUGGAUGCGCAGCCUACCCAAUGACUGGACCACAGAAAACCCUGUUCUUUACAGGGAAAAGGAAAUAGCCAAAAAGGAAAAAGCUCAAGAGAGUGAGAACACCAUCGACGCCAGAGAAGUCCGGGGCCUCACGGACAUCAUUGUUCCUGAGAGGAUCAGCAGCACCACCUUUCAAAAGCAAGGAGAUUCCAAGAGGAGGGGCUACGAGAGUGCCCUGGCGAGCUUUAAGGAAGAGAUCGCUCAGAUUGGGAUGGAAAUGGAACCUCUCAUCUUGGAACCAGGAGCACUUCUUUUAAAAAAGCUGGCUGAGUCUGACGAGGAUGUCAACAAUCUCUUCAAAAAGGUGGAAAACGACAGCAACCUCGAAGACUACACCAUCCAAACCCUGUUGGAGCUGAGGGAUCAGGUGGCCGAGAAGUUCCUGCUGCAGAAGCAGGAGAUCAAGGAGCUGGAUGAGACACUGCACUCACUUGAGUUCUCCCGGGUAGAUAAACUAAAAAGCGUGUUGAAGAAAUAUGUGGAAAUCAUAGAGAAAACUUCCUACCUCAUGCAGCCCGACGUGUAUAAGCUGAUCAAUAAAGAAGCCAUGAUCAUAAACCACGCCCUGCUGGGCAACCGGAGGGCCCUCGCCCAGCUGUUCGUCAACCUGAUGGAAGCCAGGCUGCAGCAGGAGCUUGAUAGCCACCGCCGCUGGCAGGGCCUGAUGGAUGCCUGGAAGGCUCUCAAGAAGGAGUAUCUGGUGCAGGGUUUCCGUGAGUUCAUGGCCAGUGAGAGGAUCCAGACUCCUCCGGCUGUGAAGAAAGAGCUUGAGACCAUGAUGAAGAACCAGAGCAUCCUGCAGCAAAAGCGACUGGACCAUCUGUGCACCAUCUGUGACCUCCUGCCCCCCAAUUACAGCAAAGCUCAGCUGAUGGAAUGGCGUUCUUCUCUCGACUCAUUGAACAAGCACAUCGACGCCUACCACAUGGACUGCAUGAUGCGGAUCCGCUUGCAGUACGAGAAGAUCUGGCAGGAGUGCCUAGCCCAAGUGCAGAAGUGCAGGAAGCAGCUGCUGGACUGGAAGGCCUUCACUGAGGAGGAGGCAGAGAGCCUGGUGAGCCCAUCCUUCUUCCAGUUGGUGGGAUGUCUCCAGAGCAAGGUGGAGGAGGAGCUGGAGGUCUUGGACAAAUCCUUCGAGACCGUGGCAAAGCAGACAGAGCGGCAGAGCUCAGACCUCUUCAGCUACUUCCAGGAGGCCGUGAACCUAUGGGAGACACAUCAGAGUGUGCUGUUGAUGCAGGAGAUGGAGCUGGAGAAGAGGAUGGAGCAGCAGCGGCAGAAGCACAGGCGGGAGAACCAGGCCCAGGAGGCUCAUCUUGACAAGCUCUUGGACCAACUGAGGCAGCAAAGCUAUGAGAAUAACCUGAAGUCACACCUGGAAAAGGCCAAGGAUUUUCUGAAGAAUAUGCAAUGCAGGUAUGAGGCUUUUCAUGGCCUCCUGACAAAGGAAGUGAUGGAGUACCCAGUGAUCAUACUGAAGGAACUCAACUCCUACAGCUCCCACCUCAGCCGAUACUUCUGUGUUCGUGAAAUCUUUGAACAGAACUUGGAGGGAGAAGUCAUUUUCCAGUUGAGGGAACCAGAACCACAUGAAAAGCAGUUCCAGAAGAGAAUGAGAAGACCGAGAGGAAAACGAAGAUCCAAAGCAAACACGCGCAAAGGUGACGAAAGCAACAGUGGAAGGACGAGUUCCCUCAAGCCAGCCGAAGAGAUAGAAGAAGAAGAAGAUCAAGAGGCCGAGUCCUCCACCACACAAGAGGUGACCCUGAGUCCACAGGAGAAGUCCGUACUGAGUGAAGAGAUGGAUGAGUCCAGGGAGGACUCUAUUUUAGGACUGGAAGAAAUACAGGUUGAAAGAGACAGCUCCUUGAGAUCACCCCCAAACCAGGCCAGUGUGAUGGUUCACGAAGAAGAAGAGGAGGAGAAGAAGGAAAAGGUGGAGGAGGAGAGGGAGGAGGAGGAGGAGGAAGAGGAGGAGGAGGAGGAAGAGGAGGAGGAGAAGGAGGAAGAGGAGGAGGAGCAGAGGAGCUCAUCUGUGGAUGAGGUCAAAGCCCAGGAGGAGAGUCUAGGGGAGAUCUCCCAGGAGGAGAUGGAGUUCUUCACAACCUCCAGUGGGAACACUUACUUUGUUUUCCUACCCCUGAAACAAGAAGAGAACAGCAAGACACCCCACUCCAACCUUCCUGCCACUCUCUUCAAGGACAUUUCCAGUGCCAGGGUCUUAGAAGAAGUGAUCAUUCCAUCCAGACUAGUUUUAGAGAUUAAGAAACAGCUUCGAACUGGCUUUUUUGAGCACUUGGAGAAAUGGUUUGACCAAUGUGCCCUCAAUGCUCGGGUCAUCAUGGCCAGCAAGAUUGAUGAGCUGGAUUCAGAACUGGAGCUGCGUCUGCACCUGCACCAGCCAAGAGCCCAGCACAUUGAGAAGGACAUCCACAACGUCAGGGCAGCUGAGCUCUUGCUUCAUCAAGAACGGCUGAACAGCCACUGUGCAGGGGUGAUGGAGACACUGAGGAAGGAGAGGAUGAUGUUCUGCCAGUUCCAAGAAGAGCAAAACUUGAAGAGCAAACACUUCCGCCGCAAGAUUUCUGACAUGGAGCACAUCUUCUUGAACGCCACCAAGAGCCAGAAGCUGGCAACUCUCAGCAGCACUGUGCAGCGGGAGCUGCUCAGCUAUGUCGACGUCAUCCAGGUGUCACUGCGCAGCUUCCGCCAGUACCUGGAGGAGAGCCUGGGCAAGCUGCGCUACACCAACAUUGAGUUCAUCAAGCACUGCAGAUUGUUUUCAGAGGGAGGCAACUUCUCUUCUGAAGAAAUUGACUCACUGUGUCAUCGACUAGAGAAGGAAGCUGCCCGGAUAGAGUUUGUUGAAAAUUUAAUCAUGAUCAACAUGGAAAAGAUGGAGAGUGAUUAUCUGGACCAGGCUAACGAGUUCAUCAGCAAGUUUGAAAGUAAAUUCCAUAACCUGUCUGUGGACCUUAUUUUCAUAGAGAAAAUCCAGCGCUUGCUGACAAAUCUGCAAGUAAACAUCAAGUGCGAGGUGGCAAAAUCCAAUUUGCAGACAGAGGGAUUAAAUUCUUCUCUAGAACAGCUUCAAAGCAAGGUAGAAAUGUGCCGAAACUCAAAAAGGAAUAAACAAGUAGUGAGCACAGAAGACCUCCUUGGCCUUAUUCGAACUUGGAAAGAAAAACUGAGCCAAAGGAUUGAGUAUCUCAACUGCAAGCUGGACAUGAUAUCCAUGACUCACCUGGCCUUUCCCGACAACGUCUUGACUGACCUGGAGGUAGAGAGUGACAUCUUGUUAUCUUCAGAAGUCUAUGAAGAAGAGGCUAAGGUAGACAUGGUCACCCCUGAGUCCUUUGCCCAGCCAAGCCGCAUGGGGAAGUCCAUGAUUGAAGACCCAGCCGUGGAGGUGGUCAAGAGGAUCCUGCAGUUUCCUGACUCAAAGUCCUCAACCCUUCAGUGCGACAAAGAACGGUCCCAGACAGCCUUGAGGCGACUCCGGAACCGAGCAGAGCACUCCUUGAAGAAGGACUUGUCCAUCGCCAGUGCCACCUCGGUAGCAAGCGUCACGCGGUACACCAAGCCCAACCGACUGGAUAGAAAGUAUCAGGUGCUCGGUGACAAGCCUCCUCCAGCGGAGGAUUUUAAAGGCAUCGUCCUGAGCCUGCUUUGGGAGAGCAACGAGCAUCUGCUGGCGGUCGCGGAGGAGUUUUACCGCAAAGAGAAACGCUCAGUCACCAGGCCCGACUGCAUGUACGAAACCUUCGACCAGUGUGCAGAGAACAUCUGUAAGAAGAUCCUGGAGUACCACAGCCAGACAGACAAUUACUACAACUCCUGCCUCAUAGAAUUACGGGCCCAGAUGAGGAGAUUUGAGGAGCUUCUGCCCCAGGUGUGUUGGCUGGUGAUGGAGAAUUUCAAGGAGCACCAUUGGAAAAAAUGUUGCGCUUCCACCAAAGAUAUCCGAGGACAGUUCUUGAAUUACCAGGAAGAGCUGGAGAAAAGGAAGGAUGAAAAUGCCCAGAAGCUCCACCCAAAUCUUGGACACCCUGCACAGCUCCAAGAUAUGGAGUCUCUAUGUCAAGUGGAAGAGAAGAGGCAGGGAGAUUUGGACGCCUUGAUUGUGGUAACCAAGGAGAAGCUGGAGGAAUGCAUAAGGAAAUACGCCCGGUUUUUCAUAGCCACCUUGGCCACCUUCACUGAGAAGUUCCUGCUGCAGUUGGAUGAGGUGGUCACCAUUGACGAUGUCCAGGUUGCAAGUGACAUAAGCAUGCACCCUCACUUGUAUAUAAAUGAAUCUGUGUGAGAGGAACAGAGGCAAAGAGGGACAAAAUGAGAAAAGCAGAGCCCGAGAAACAGGUACCUGACUGUUGAUGACCACCUCUGGUGAGUGGCAUUGUGAGAGAUUUCUAAAGUCUUUUUCCCCAUUAGAUGAUGUUUAAAUUUUUUAUACUAUGUGAACUGCUUUUUAUAACUAUGCAAAGACUCAAAUCAUAUUAAAUAUUGUCCAUUUAUCUCUCAUCUAUUAAGUAAUUAAAAUAUAUUAUUUUUAUUUUUUAAGUUUGGAUUGCAAAGACAAUGACUAUUUUUAUAGUAAAAUAAGAAAUUCAAUAUGAGUUACAAAGAAAGAGAAGAAUAUGGUCCUCCCUCCUGAAAUAGGUGCUGGUAACAUUGGCUGUCCUCCUCCUGGUCAUUUCCCUUUGUUCACAGGCCUGUGUGUAUAUCAGUGGGGAGAUGGGAGGGUGGAUCACAGGUGUGUGCUCCUUUGUAACCUAAUUUCCCCUUGGGCGGAUGCUGGCCAAGCCAGUCACCAUUUCCGUGAGCACUUCCAGUUGCUGUGCAUCUUAUUUUAUUAGUUAAUCCCCUGCUGGUGCAUACGGGCCAUGUCUAGCUUUUCACUCCUCUAAUCGUGCUGGAAGGAACAUCUGCAUCGAUAUUUCUCAACAACUUCCUAGAAGUGGAUUUCCUAGGUCAAAAUGUAUGUGCAUGCUGGGGUGCUAGCCACUGUCUAGUAGUGGGGGUCUCUUUGGCAAGUGUGAGCCUGGUUUGGGAAAGCGGAGCCUGCAGAGAUACUGGGAUUCAGACUAGAGAGGGAACAGGCAGUGGAGCCAGCAGGGAGGCAGCCUCGGCACCUUGGAGGGAACCCCUGGGCCAGGAAGACCCCCUGCAUCCGGCCCAUGAGGUCCUCACCUGCUCUGUAACUAGGGCUUCUGAGCCAAGUGACCUGGCCCUGCCAUGCCUGCAGACCAGGGUGCAGAGAGCUGCUCUGGCCUGCUGGUCUCACUCCAGGAACAGAGUCCCUUUCUCUCCAUGUCAAAUGGCAGGUCAGUGAGCCAGACACGAGAAAGACAACCUUGAAUGUGUUCAUUCCAGGAGAAAUUCUUAGUUCAGGACCCCUUUGAGCUACUAUGAACCAAAGAAGUCUCCAAAAAGCAUAUUCAGGAGCUCAUAGAAGCUGCGAGAAGGUCAGAGCAUCAUACAUAGGAUUUUGGAGCUGGGAUGCACACCCAAACCACAUCUCACAUAUUCCAGCUUUAACCCUCCUGCCUGAGACUCUUUAAGUGUGGAAGAGGGGAGCAAGGUUUCAUUUCUGUAAAUGUAAGGUCGGGGGUCCCCUUGAUAUCAGGCUGUGGAUGAGGCCCCCAUCAGUAACCCAUCUCUUGCUUGCCAGAGAUGGAGCCCCCCAAACAGAAAACCUCAAUCCUAAUACGGAGGAAACUCACCGGGCUGUCCCUGGAGGAAGAGAGUGAGAAGCCCCUGAUUGAACGGGGGAGCAGAAAGUGGCCAGGAAUCAAACCUACUGAAGUCACCAUCCAAAAC